rnacentral:tRNA from 1 species
GUCGGGAUAGCUCAGCUGGAA